GACGGAGGGUGCUAGCGUUGUUCGGAAUCACUGGGCGUCAAGGGCGCGUAGGCGGCCAGGCAAGUCGGCUUUGUGAAAGCCCGGGGCUCAACCCCGGAGGUGCGGCCGGGACUGCUUGGCUGGAGGCCGGAAGAGGAGGGUGGAAUACCCAGUGUAGAGGUGAAAUUCGUAGAUAUUGGGUGGAACACCGGUGGCGAAAGCGGCUCUCUGGUCCGGACCUGACGCUGAGGCGCGAAAGCGUGGGGAGCAAACAGG
rnacentral:rRNA from 1 species